rnacentral:rRNA from 1 species
UACGUAGGGGGCGAGCGUUGUCCGGAAUCAUUGGGCGUAAAGAGCGUGUAGGUGGACUGGAAGGUCUGGUGUGAAAGCCCGGGGCUCAACCCCGGAGGGUCACUGGAAACCAACAGUCUUGAGUCCGGAAGAGGAGAGUGGAAUUCCUAGUGUAGCGGUGGAAGUGCGCAGAUAUUAGGAGGAACACCAAUGGCGAAGGCAGCUCUCUGGUACGUGACUGACACUGAGACGCGAAAGCGUGGGGAGCGAACAGG